rnacentral:rRNA from 1 species
AUUGAACGCUGGCGGCAGGCCUAACACAUGCAAGUCGAGCGGAUGAAGGCAGCUUGCUCCUGGAUUCAGCGGCGCACGGGUGUGUAAUGCCUAUGAAUCUGCCUCGUAGUGCGGGAUAACGUCUGGAAACGGGCGCUACUACCGCAUACUUCCUGCGGGUGCAAGUGGGUGAUCUUCGGACCUCACGCUCUCAGAUGAGCCUAGGUCGGAUUAGCUAGUUUGUGGGGUAAAGGCCUACCAAGGCGACGAUCCGUAACUGGUCUGAGAGGAGGAUCAGUCACACGGGAAGUGAGACACGGUCAAGACGACUAAGAGAGGCAGCAGAGGGGAAUAUGAGACAAUGGGCGAGAGCAUGAUACAGUGAGGCGGAGUGUGAGAAGAAGGUGUUCGGAUUGGAAAGAACUUUAAGUUGGGAGGAAGGGCAGUAAGUUAAUACCUAGCGGGAGUGACGGUACCAACAGAAGAAGCACCGGCUAACUUCGUG